GGGUAUGUGGCUCAGUUGGUAAAGCAUUUGCCAAGCAAGCAUGACAACCUGAGUUUGAUCCUCAGCACCUA
rnacentral:tRNA from 1 species